AUACGGAGGAUGCAAGCGUUAUCCGGAUUUAUUGGGUUUAAAGGGUGCGUAGGCGGUUUGCUAAGCGGGAGGUGAAAUGCCGGCGCUCAACGUCGGAAGUGCCUCCCGAACUGGGGGACUUGAAUGACUCUGCCGUGGGAGGAAUGUGUAGUGUAGCGGUGAAAUGCUUAGAGAUUACACAGAACACCGAUUGCGAAGGCAUCUCACGAAGGGUUGAUUGACGCUGAGGCACGAAAGCGUGGGGAUCAAACAGGAUUAGAUACUCUGGUAGUCCACGCAGUAAACGAUGAUAGCUAACCGCUGGGCUUAUCAGUUCAGUGGCCAAGCGAAAGCGAUAAGCCAUCCACCUGGGGAGUACGACCGCAAGGUUGAAACUCAAAGGAAUUGGCGGGG
rnacentral:rRNA from 1 species